AAGAGUGGGUAGGAAAGAUGGGUUUACUACUUUGCUGUCCUCUUCAGCCUCUCAAGGAUCGGGAAGAUGACCAGUACAGCCGUCUUCAAGGAAACCACCAAAGGAAGAAGUGACCUCAGGACUCAAGAGUAGGUGGUUCUUAAACACCAGUUCAGAGUGUUCUCCCUUCUACUGAGUUCUCAGAAUCAAAGCAAUACAUUUUGGAGAGCUCUCAGCAGAGAGAUUUUGAGCCCUAAUUCUAAACUCCAGGAUUGUAGAGAUGACAAACAAAGAGGAGGGGCCACCAGAGCAAAUUUGGGUUUUUCUCAAAAUAAAAGUCAAGGCUGGAGAUAUGGUUCAAUAAUAGAGCACUUGUUUAUCUGUCUAGCAUGUAUGAACUCUGUGAGGCCCUGGGUUCAAACUGGGUGGCGGGGGUGGUGGUA
rnacentral:lncRNA from 1 species